UGGGGAAUAUUGGACAAUGGGCGGAAGCCUGAUCCAGCAACGCCGCGUGAGGGAUGACGGCCUUCGGGUUGUAAACCUCUUUCAGUACCGACGAAGCGAAAGUGACGGUAGGUACAGAAGAAGGACCGGCCAACUACGUGCCAGCAGCCGCGGUAAUACGUAGGGUCCGAGCGUUGUCCGGAAUUAUUGGGCGUAAAGGGCUCGUAGGCGGUUUGUCGCGUCGGGAGUGAAAACAGCGGGCUUAACUCGUUGCUUGCUUUCGAUACGGGCAGACUAGAGGUAUGCAGGGGAGAAUGGAAUUCCUGGUGUAGCGGUGAAAUGCGCAGAUAUCAGGAGGAACACCGGUGGCGAAGGCGGUUCUCUGGGCAUUACCUGACGCUGAGGAGCGAAAGUGUGGGGAGCGAACAGGAUUAGAUACCCUGGUAGUCCACACCGUAAACGUUGGGCGCUAGGUGUGGGGUCCUUUCCACGGAUUCCGUGCCGUAGCUAACGCAUUAAGCGCCCCGCCUGGGGAGUACGGCCGCAAGGCUAAAACUCAAAGGAAUUGACGGGGUCAUAGCUGUUUCC
rnacentral:rRNA from 1 species